CGGCGUGCCUAAUACAUGCAAGUCGAACGGCUUUUCUAUGGAAGCUUGCUUCCACUGAGAAGAUAGUGGCGAACGGGUGAGUAACACGUGGGUAACCUGCCCAUAAGAGGGGGAUAACAUCCGGAAACGGGUGCUAAUACCGCAUAGUUUCUUGAUCGCAUGAUUGAGAAAGGAAAGACGGCCUUUGUGCUGUCGCUUAUGGAUGGACCUGCGGCGUAUUAGUUAGUUGGUGAGGUAACGGCUUACCAAGACGAUGAUACGUAGCCGACCUGAGAGGGUGAUCGGCCACAUUGGGACUGAGACACGGCCCAAACUCCUACGGGAGGCAGCAGUAGGGAAUCUUCCGCAAUGGACGAAAGUCUGACGGAGCAACGCCGCGUGAGUGAAGAAAAGGUUUUCGGAUCGUAAAACUCUGUUGUCAGAGAAGAACAAGUUGGAGAGUAACUGCUCCAGCCUUGACGGUAUCUGACCAGAAAGCCACGGCUAACUACGUGCCAGCCGCCGC
rnacentral:rRNA from 1 species